UGGCUUAGUGGUAGAGUGCUUGCCUAGCAUGCAAGAAGCCCUGAGUUCAAUUCCUUAG
rnacentral:tRNA from 1 species